GUGCUCGCUUUCUCAGCACAUACACUAAAAAAUUGGAAGGAUAGAGAUUAGCAUGGCCCCUGCACAAGAAUGACAUGCAAAUUCGUGAAGCGUUCAAUAUUUUU
ensembl:snRNA U6 U6 spliceosomal RNA